AUAAUUGGUCGAUAUAAAACUCGUCCCGUUCUUUUGUUGAUGUUCCACGUCGACGUUCCUAAUUAAGAGUUGGCAGGAAACAAAAGCGCUAAGACCAUGCUCCUGGGAUCUCCUGUAUAUUAGCACAGGCAGACACACGUACAGGUUGUUCCCAUUUCUUUACUCGGACGCCCUGAAACUGCUCCCUCUGUGAAUUUAUGUGCCGACGCUGCACUCUAGAAAAUUCCCUGGAUGUUUGACGUGAAUACAAACAUGCUAGAAAUCUGUACAAACAUCACGGCUUCACAUUCCGUCAGCUCAAGUAUGUGGAAGAGGGCAGAUAGCGUUCCUCCAAGUGUGAUAGGCCGGCCUGUGGUGCAGCGUGAAGCAGCUGUACGUGACUCUGUAGAAACGUGUGCUGAUGUGUGAUAGGGCAGUCAGAUAAUGGAUGAGAUCAACUAAGAGUGAAAAACUACAGCAAACAUCUAAUCAAGCGAACAUUAGUUCUGCAUCACUUCUAUGAUUCUAAAAUAAAAGAACAUUUUUUUCA